rnacentral:tRNA from 1 species
GGCUUCAUAGCUCAGUCGGUAGAGCAGAGGACUGAAAAUCCUUGUGUCGGCAGUUCAAUUCUGUCUGAAGCCACCA